rnacentral:rRNA from 1 species
AGCGAACGCUGGCGGCAGGCUUAACACAUGCAAGUCGAGCGGGCGUAGCAAUACGUCAGCGGCAGACGGGUGAGUAACGCGUGGGAACAUACCUUUUGGUUCGGAACAACACAGGGAAACUUGUGCUAAUACCGGAUAAGCCCUUACGGGAAAGAUUUAUCGCCGAAAGAUUGGCCCGCGUCUGAUUAGCUAGUUGGUGAGGUAACGGCUCACCAAGGCGACGAUCAGUAGCNGGUCUGAGAGGAUGAUCAGCCACAUUGGGACUGAGACACGGCCCAAACUCCUACGGGAGGCAGCAGUGGGGAAUAUUGGACAAUGGGCGCAAGCCUGAUCCAGCCAUGCCGCGUGAGUGAUGAAGGCCCUAGGGUUGUAAAGCUCUUUUGUGCGGGAAGAUAAUGACGGU